rnacentral:tRNA from 2 species
GAGCGCGUAGUUCAGCGGUAGAACGGGUGCCUUUAAAACACUGUUGUCGCGGGUUCGAUCCCCGCCGCGCUCACCA